AUUGAACGCUGGCGGCAGGCCUAACACAUGCAAGUCGAGCGGAGCGGCGGACGGGUGAGUAAUGUAUGGGGAACUGCCCGAUAGAGGGGGAUAACUACUGGAAACGGUAGCUAAUACCGCAUACUAUCAGAUGAGCUUAGGUCGGAUUAGCUAGUUGGUGGGGUAAAGGCCUACCAAGGCGACGAUCCGUAACUGGUCUGAGAGGAUGAUCAGUCACAAUGGAACUGAGACACGUUCCAGACUCCUACGGGAGGCAGCAGUGGGGAAUAUUGGGCAAUGGGCGAAAGCCUGAUCCAGCCAUGCCGCGUGUGUGAAGAAGGUCUUCGGAUUGUAAAGCACUUUAAGUUGGGAGGCGUUACCUACAGAAUAAGCACCGGCUAACUACGUGCCAGCAGCCGCGGUAAUUC
rnacentral:rRNA from 1 species